rnacentral:rRNA from 1 species
UGGGGAAUAUUGCGCAAUGGGCGAAAGCCUGACGCAGCGACGCCGCGUGAGGGAUGAAGGUUUUCGGAUCGUAAACCUCUGUCAGAAGGGAAGAAACCGCACUAUGCUAAUCAGCAGUGCCUUGACGGUACCUUCAAAGGAAGCACCGGCUAACUCCGUGCCAGCAGCCGCGGUAAUACGGAGGGUGCAAGCGUUAAUCGGAAUUACUGGGCGUAAAGCGCACGUAGGCUGCUUUGUAAGUCAGGGGUGAAAUCCCACGGCUCAACCGUGGAACUGCCUUUGAUACUGCUUAGCUUGAAUCCGGGAGAGGGUGGCGGAAUUCCAGGUGUAGGAGUGAAAUCCGUAGAUAUCUGGAGGAACAUCAGUGGCGAAGGCGGCCACCUGGACCGGUAUUGACGCUGAGGUGCGAAAGCGUGGGGAGCAAACAGG